rnacentral:rRNA from 1 species
AGCGCUUAGAAGUGAGAAUGCCGGUGUGAGUAGCGAAAGACGGGUGAGAAUCCCGUCCACCGAUUGACUAAGGUUUCCAGAGGAAGGCUCGUCCGCUCUGGGUUAGUCGGGUCCUAAGCUGAGGCCGACAGGCGUAGGCGAUGGAUAACAGGUUGAUAUUCCUGUACCACCUAUAAUCGUUUUAAUCGAUGGGGGGACGCAGUAGGAUAGGCGAAGCGUGCGAUUGGAUUGCACGUCUAAGCAGUAAGGCUGAGUAUUAGGCAAAUCCGGUACUCGUUAAGGCUGAGCUGUGAUGGGGAGAAGACAUUGUGUCUUCGAGUCGUUGAUUUCACACUGCCGAGAAAAGCCUCUAGAUAGAAAAUAGGUGCCCGUACCGCAAACCGACACAGGUAGUCAAGAUGAGAAUUCUAAGGUGAGCGAGCGAACUCUCGUUAAGGAACUCGGCAAAAUGACCCCGUAACUUCGGGAGAAGGGGUGCUCUUUAGGGUUAACGCCC